rnacentral:lncRNA from 1 species
CCGGUCCCACAGCCAGACGAGACCUUGCAGCCGGCGGGCCCCUCCAACGACAAGACAAGACCCCGUGGGCCCCCUGGCCAGCCGGCGAUGCUGCCAGCCGGGUCCCACUCUUGUACCUUUUAUCCAUAUUGUAGGUCGGUGGGUUCGUCUAUAAAACCCCCCGGCCCCCUCCAUGCAGAGGGUCGGUCAACUCAGCACACACACCAACCACAUAGGAGAGGCAGACGCGAGCCGGCGGCUCCUUCUUCCUCCUCUGCAAUACAGCUCCAGGAGCACUUUGUAGUCCCAUUCAUACAUCAUACACUCCGGCAGGAUUAGGGGUGUUAUCUCUACGGAGAUCCAUGAACCUGGGUACAUCGUGUGUUCCAUGCUUGUACCAACCUCGUUCCCAGCGUCCUCUGGUACCACUUCGGUUCCCACCAUCUUUAGCCUACCCAUGGCUUAUGUUGUGAGUAAACACCGACAAAUCGAAAUGGCAAAACCCUCGUCAAGACAAGCAUGAGGAAAAAUAAACUUCACAACCAAUGAGUGCAUCAAGAUGCAAGGAUAUAAGAUCCGCACUCAAGACAAAUCCUUUCACGAAACCACCAAAAAAACUGAAAAAGAAAAUGCAACGGUGGACGUGAAAGAAAAAAGGAUAUCAAUUAGAGAUGUAACUUCUCUCAUGUGUAAAAGAUUCUAGGUAGAAGACAAUCAUGAUGAUAUAUAUCCACAAAGAAGGAUUUACUCAAGAAAUAGUUACAAGAAGGAAGAAACAAGAUAUCCAAAAGGAAGUCAUAAAUAUACCAAUAAGAUCUUUGCUUGAAAGCAUAGCACAUGGCCUAAUAAUUUAUUAUUGUACAUAAAUGAACUUCCGACUUACGAACAUCAAAGACAUCACAACUAGCAAUAAGACAUCAUCGUUGGGAUGCUUUGAGAAAGGAAACAAGUACCACAAGAACGAAUCAAGAAAUUCCUCCCAUGAUGCAACCUACAAAAGGUUGAAUGCAAGAAAUGUAUGCAUGAAGUAGAUACUUUUACAGAGAUAGCAUUGGAUUGAUGUAGUAGAUAAUUGUUCGCUGAUCAUCCUAACUUGCUCCAAUAAGCACAUGGUGUCAAACUCUUCCUUGUAAGUGAGCCCAGCAUCCAAGGCAUCUCCAAUUGUUCCUAGAAUAGCAACACAAACAAAAUGGUGCCCAAACUCAUUGGGAACAAAUAGUUAGACAACCAACGAUGCAUACGACAAACUCCACAUAAAUAUGUGCAUAUGGAUAUGAUAUUGAAUUUAAUGCACACUUUAGCGAAUUUAUGACAUGGUGGAGUUUCCCCUAUAUAUUGGGCCAGAGAAAGAAAACAUGCCAAAGAAGGUACAUAUAGUAAAUAUGCAUGCUCAAGGCUUUCAAGAAUCAAAUCAACACAUAGUUGAUAAGAUACCAAAAUACAAGUUAUCAGGAGGGAAUAACAUACCAAACUAAAAAGUUAUCACUUGAA